AUUGAACGCUGGCGGCAGGCCUAACACAUGCAAGUCGAGCGGAUGACGGGAGCUUGCUCCUUGAUUCAGCGGCGGACGGGUGAGUAAUGCCUAGGAAUCUGCCUGGUAGUGGGGGACAACGUUUCGAAAGGAACGCUAAUACCGCAUACGUCCUACGGGAGAAAGCAGGGGACCUUCGGGCCUUGCGCUAUCAGAUGAGCCUAGGUCGGAUUAGCUAGUUGGUGGGGUAAUGGCUCACCAAGGCGACGAUCCGUAACUGGUCUGAGAGGAUGAUCAGUCAGACUGGAACUGAGACACGGUCCAGACUCCUACGGGAGGCAGCAGUGGGGAAUAUUGGACAAUGGGCGAAGUCCUGAUCCAGCCAUGCCGCGUGUGUGAAGAAGGUCUUCGGAUUGUAAAGCACUUUAAGUUGGGAGGAAGGGCAGUAAGUUAAUACCUUGCUGUUUUGACGUUACCGACAGAAUAAGCACCGGCUAACUCUGUGCCAGCCGCCGCCGUAA
rnacentral:rRNA from 1 species